CUCUUUCUCGGAAAGCAGCUGGCUUUGAAGAAAGAGAAACCAGGACGGGAAAGUCCUGAUUUCUAAUCUGAAACAGCGCUUUUUGUCCAGAGACCGGUGACGAGCGACCCUGGGCUCGGGUUUUGAUUGGGCAGUUCGGAAACUGUAAAAGCGAAUUAAAAGGGUGACAAGCUAGUGCUUUAGCCUAUCCAGUUCCAGGAGUUUGCACCGAGACGCUCUGCUUCGGGACCUUGGCUCUGCUCUGUGGGCGCCGCCCCCAGCCUGGGCGCGUCCAUCGUCGAGUACCUUCUCCUCUGCCUCCCCCUCCCUCUGCUUCUAUCUCUCUCCAAUUGCCCUCCCUGACCUGCGGCCGCCCGGUCCUCCGUCCCAGCCCGGUGUAGGCAGGCACCCGGGUUCGACUUGCUCAGGUAUCUGUCCGCGACUGGGAAGCCACGGAGGGCCGGGAAAGUGGCACACUCUUGGAGCGCAAGCUUCCUACUCUCUCAUCGCUGAAUAACUAACGGGCAGGACUGGGUGGAACAGACAGCAUAUCUAGGUCAUUGAUGGGCUGCUGGGUGGAUGGAGCUGGAAAGUGAUGGGCACUGCUUUCUGGGGCUGCCCAGGUUCCUUCCGAGGGCUCUCUUUUCCUGGGCAGAGCGGGAAAGAGGAGGGGCAGGCCGGUUGCGAAACGCAAAUAGUGGAGAAUAGCGAUCCGGGGAGAAGCAGGUGUCUGUGGGGCCCAAGAGAAGCACCAUCUCGUUAAAGAUUCAGAUUGAACUACCUUACAAAUGGCUCCCAGAAGAUCCACUCCCUGUGGGAGCACAGCAGUUGUGGAGGUGAAGACAGGACUGGACUCAGAAUAAGAGUUCAAAUAUGCCGGGAAAUCUGACCUCUAAAUUCUUAUAAUAUGUCAGACAGCGACGAACAACAGCAGUGAGACAUUGAAGAGUUUUAAUAUUUGCUGUAAACCUUGGCACAGAAAACUUACUUCUCUAAGACUGAAUCCAAAAAGCACAAUGGAAUACUAUAAUAAGCUGAGACAGCAUGGUGAAUUCCAGACAAGCCUGAGCAUUCCCUAUAGCCAGAGAAGGAGGCCCAACACCUAAAAUAGCCUUGGAUGCAGAACUGAUAGAACUUGGGGAAAGUGAUGAAGUAGUUGACCUCACCUGUGAAUCUCUAGAACCUAUAGUGAUUGACCUAACUCACCAUGACUCUGUAGUGAUUAUUGAACAAAGGAGGAGGCCAAGAGCAAACACAAGGUCACUCCAAGACCAAACUGGCAGUUGUGUGGUGAACACUGAUGAGGAGGGAGUGAAAAGGGACAGAGAUGUAUGUAUAACCAACAGUGCCCACCAUAAUUCCCUGCAAAAAAAAUUUUUUUUGUCAUAUACUACCUGGUUAUAUUUAGUGUCAAGUUUGCAUGGAUGGAUGCUCAGAGAUUGAACUUAGUAUACAACACAUCAACUCUAUAGAAUGUGGCCACAUCUGUAGUCGGUGCUUCUGCACUUCCUUUACACAUACUAACACUGCCCAGUUUGUUUGAAAAAAAUCAGCCUCCAUCAGUAUCACUGCAUUUAUAUAUGAUGUGUGCCUUAUUGCUCAAGAAAGAUCCUGUGGCUGGAUUUUUCCACGUCUUUGUGCAGGAACUAUGGGUUGUUGGCAUCCAGUGCUCCGAGCUUAAAAAGACUGAUUUUUAAAAUUGCUAUCUGCAGUAUAUAAAAAACUCUUUUAUUUAUCAUAUGCUCUGAGACUGCUUUUUGUUUCCUUUGGUUUUAUGCUUCAGCUCUGGACUUCAGUUGCCAGAGUGUGCCAGAAACCGGGGUCGUCCUUAAAGCAACUUUCCCUUUCUUAUAGUCAUCAAUUUUUAGUUGGCCACAUGUGGACAUUCUGGACCACAUAAAUAAAGACAACACCCUAGAGAUGGUGAAGUAAGUUGUAAACUAAAAAUAAAAUCCUAAGCCCCCUAAUCGACUGAAUGGAACCCCUCUUGACCAAAGUGACCCUAGAAAAACCUUAAAACUGAGUUCCUGGCCAUGACAGGAUGGGAGGUCAGACACGCUUCAUUAUAUCCUCUUCUCUUUUAUGGUUUAGACACAACAACUGACCAGCAUUAAUGUCAAAAUAAAGAUCAUAAGGCUGCCAGAACAGACCCUUUGUGGCAAUAACAAAUUAUUCAUAAGAUCUAAGGUCAUGCCAGGCAAGUGUUAUGUCAUGCACUCCUACACUUAAAGAAUAAACUAUGUUAUAACUGC